UACUGGCCUGUUAAGUCCCAAGU
rnacentral:miRNA from 1 species